rnacentral:rRNA from 1 species
GCGAGUAAAGUGGCAAACUGGUGAGUAAUGCAUGAGUAACCUGCCCUCACGUUCGGGAUAACACUUUGAAAAGAGUGCUAAUACCGAAUGCUGCCACCUAUGCUACGGCAAAGGUGAUGAAAGGUGGCCUCUCCUUGGAAGCUACCGCGUGUAGGGGGGCUCAUGUCCCAUUAGCUUGUUGGUGGGGUAACAGCCUACCAAGGCAACGAUGGGUAGCCGGCCUGAGAGGGUGUCCGGCCACACUGGGACUGAGAUACGGCCCAGACUCCUACGGGAGGCAGCAGUGAGGAAUUUUGCGCAAUGGGAGAAAUCCUGACGCAGCAAUGCCGCGUGAGCGAUGAAGCCCCUUGGGGUGUAAAGCUCUGUCAAAUGGGAAGAAAUGAGAUAAGGUCAAUACCCUUAUCCCUUGACGGUACCAUUAAAGGAAGCCCCGGCUAACUCCGUGCCAGCAGCCGCGGUAAUACGGAGGGGGCGAGCGUUAUUCGGAAUUACUGGGCGUAAAGAGCGUGUAGGCGGUGGGGUAAGUUAGGCGUGAAAACCUGUGGCUCAACCACAGGCUUGCGUCUAAUACUGCCUUACUAGAGUAUUGGAGAGGGAAGUGGAAUUCCUAGUGUAGCGGUGAAAUGCGUAGAUAUUAGGAGGAACACCGGUGGCGAAGGCGGCUUCCUGGACAAAUACUGACGCUAAGACGCGAAAGCCAGGGAGCAAACGGGAUUAGAUACCCCGGU